rnacentral:rRNA from 1 species
AUUGAACGCUGGCGGCAUGCCUUACACAUGCAAGUCGAACGGCAGCACGGGUGCUUGCACCUGGUGGCGAGUGGCGAACGGGUGAGUAAUACAUCGGAACAUGUCCUGUAGUGGGGGAUAGCCCGGCGAAAGCCGGAUUAAUACCGCAUACGAUCUACGGAUGAAAGCGGGGGACCUUCGGGCCUCGCGCUAUAGGGUUGGCCGAUGGCUGAUUAGCUAGUUGGUGGGGUAAAGGCCUACCAAGGCGACGAUCAGUAGCUGGUCUGAGAGGACGACCAGCCACACUGGGACUGAGACACGGCCCAGACUCCUACGGGAGGCAGCAGUGGGGAAUUUUGGACAAUGGGCGAAAGCCUGAUCCAGCAAUGCCGCGUGUGUGAAGAAGGCCUUCGGGUUGUAAAGCACUUUUGUCCGGAAAGAAAUACUUGGCUCUAAUACAGGCGGGGGAUGACGGUACCGGAAGAAUAAGCACCGGCUAACUACGUG